ensembl:lncRNA
GGAAACGGCUCCAGAGAUCAUGUGAUCUCCAGAGUCAGGGCAGGGCACCGUCCCGGGAAAGCCUUCCAAAUGCGGAGGGCUUAUUCCAGGACAGUGGAGAUGUUCCUGCCGCCAGAAUGGCUUCCUUCUGGACUGGGCCAGUAAGGUAAGUGUGGAAAUGGCAAAAGAAUCAUUCAGGCGGAGUAUGGCACUCUGAAAGUUUAUGAAUGUCUUCCUGAUGGAGUUACUUGUAAUUCACAAUCCUCUUUGUGUAUUUGUUGUAGAUUUAAGAAGACUACGUAGAAGUUUGUGUUGCUUUAAGAAGAAACAGUGAAGGAUGUGGAAAAAGACACAAUUGCAAGAAUUACAGCUCCUCUCCAGUGAGGAAGAAGGCAAAAGAAUGAAGGGAUCGGCUUUCAGCAGCUUGAGGAAUGUGACUUCGGGAAUGAAAAGUUCAGCGUGUAAUUCCUCGGUCACAAAUACCCCUCCGCGUUGCUGUCUGUAUGCUUUUAUCUUUCACACUAGGGAGCUUAUUUCAACCUGUACAGCAGAGUUCUGCCCCAUUCUGCCUUAAAACUGGAAGAGAAAUUUCCAUUGAGGAAGCAAGGAAUCACAGAUUUCAUCUACACAAAAGCUCAAAAAGGUGGCACUGGAGCAGUGCAAUUUCUGCUGAAACCANGGCUUUUGAAAAUGUUCCAGUGGGAGGAGCAGACUGAUUAUGAGCCAACGGGCUGAUUUUUCAGCCAAGAUCUCUGUGCAGUGGCCAUAAAUAGAAGCAGCAGCCACUUAGAUUUUCCAGUUGGCUCAGUCUUGACUCUGGAGUCACAGCUGAAGUUGAUGUUCACCUCCAGGCAAUAUAAGGCCUUCUGUUCUUAACCAAAGAGUGUCAGGAUCAUGGUGCACUGAGUUACACUGUUUUGCUACCUGGUAUUGUUAUAGUGGAUGAGCUUCCAGGGUUGACUUAGACUUCCCCUGAGUCCUGCUUGUGGAUUAUAGUUGAGCUACUUUUUGUGUGUCUAUUGACUACGUCAUUGGCUCAGGCCUUUGGCUUGUUUAUUGUACUGUGGCUUCUCUGUUUUGCCUGAAUUCAGCUUUUGCCUUAACCUUUGAAGCCUUCAGCUCCUCCUUGCUUAGUAAAACCUCCAACCUUCUCCUUCUCUGCCUGCUGCUCCUGGUCCUUAUACUUCCGAGUCCCGAGAGUGCCGCCCAUAUCCCGACAAGAUAGGCAUGAAGCUCCUCAGAUCGCUGCCACUGUUUUAGCACACCCUUCAGGACCUGUUUACGUGAUUACACUUUGCACAAAUAUGGCACAGGGUUUGGGCAAACUAUAAGCAAUAUAUGAAUUAUGUUGCUAGCCCUGUUAGCAAUUAUCAGUUUUCUUGAUAAUUGCACAGUGUGCUUUGGCAGUGGUUUGGUAAAAGUUUAUAUAUUGCCAAAUUUCUGUUGCAGAGUUGCACUGCAAGUGCAGAAAGCAAAUCCCAGUUGUACAACCAGUUAUAAAUGUGGCCUAAGUGAAGAAAAAGAGUUAAUUUUAACAAGAAGGUACGAGACAAUCUUACUGCAAUACCUG